rnacentral:rRNA from 1 species
CUGACCCCAUCCCGAACUCAGAAGUGAAACCGCUUAGCGCCGAUGGUAGUGUGGGGUCUCCCCAUGUGAGAGUAGGUCAUCGUCAGGU